AGUGAACGCUGGCGGUAGGCCUAACACAUGCAAGUCGAACGGCAGCACAGGAGAGCUUGCUCUCUGGGUGGCGAGUGGCGGACGGGUGAGGAAUACAUCGGAAUCUACUCUGUCGUGGGGGAUAACGUAGGGAAACUUACGCUAAUACCGCAUACGACCUACGGGUGAAAGCAGGGGACCUUCGGGCCUUGCGCGAUUGAAUGAGCCGAUGUCGGAUUAGCUAGUUGGCGGGGUAAAGGCCCACCAAGGCGACGAUCCGUAGCUGGUCUGAGAGGAUGAUCAGCCACACUGGAAGUGAGACACGGUCCAGACUCCUACGGGAGGCAGCAGUGGGGAAUAUUGGACAAUGGGCGCAAGCCUGCUCCAGCCAUACCGCGUGGGUGAAGAAGGCCUUCGGGUUGCAAAGCCCUUUUGUUGGGAAAGAAAUCCAGCUGGCUAAUACCCGGUUGGGAUGACGGUACCCAAAGAAUAAGCACCGGCUAACUUCGUGCCAGCCGCCGCCGUAA
rnacentral:rRNA from 1 species